rnacentral:rRNA from 1 species
UACGUAGGGUGCGAGCGUUGUCCGGAAUUAUUGGGCGUAAAGGGCUCGUAGGCGGUUUGUCGCGUCGGAAGUGAAAACACGGGGCUUAACUCUGUGCUGGCUUUCGAUACGGGCAGACUAGAGGGAUGCAGGGGAGAACGGAAUUCCUGGUGUAGCGGUGAAAUGCGCAGAUAUCAGGAGGAACACCGGUGGCGAAGGCGGUUCUCUGGGCAUUCCCUGACGCUGAGGAGCGAAAGUGUGGGGAGCGAACAGGAUUAGAUACCCUGGUAGUCCACACCGUAAACGUUGGGCGCUAGGUGUGGGAUCCAUUCCACGGGUUCCGUGCCGCAGCUAACGCAUUAAGCGUCCCGCCUGGGGAGUACGGCCGCAAGGCUAAA